UGGGGAAUAUUGGCACAAUGGGCGAAAGCCUGAUGCAGCAACGCCGCGUGGGCUGAGUGAAAGGCCAUUCCGGGUUUGGUAAAAGCUCUGUCUUUUGGGACGAUAAUGACGGUACCAAAGGAGGAAGCCACGGCUAACUACGUGCCAGCAGCCGCGGUAAUACGUAGGUGGCAAGCGUUGUCCGGAUUUUACUGGGCGUAAAGGAUGCGUAGGCGGAUUUUUAAGUGAGAUGUGAAAUACCCGGGCUUAACUUGGGUGCUGCAUUUCAAACUGGGAAUCUAGAGUGCGGGAGAGGAGAAUGGAAUUCCUAGUGUAGCGGUGAAAUGCGUAGAGAUUAGGAAGAACACCAGUGGCGAAGGCGAUUCUCUGGACCGUAACUGACGCUGAGGCAUGAAAGCGUGGGUAGCAAACAGGAUUAGAUACCCUGGUAGUCCACGCCGUAAACGAUGAGUACUAGGUGUAGGAGGUAUCGACCCCUUCUGUGCCGCAGUUAACACAAUAAGUACUCCGCCUGGGAAGUACGAUCGCAAGAUU
rnacentral:rRNA from 1 species